CACGAUAAAUAAUUAAAUUCUUGAAUAUAAUAUAUCCCGGGUUUGGAUUGACCUGGGCACUGUUACAUUUCUUUGGGGUAAAGCCUCACAAUGGAGAGGGACAAUCAAUAACAGAGUUGGUUUUCAUCAAUUUGGGAGAUCGCUUAUCUUGUUAUGAAGGGGUUAAUGAGAGCCCGACAGGACAGACUAAUAAACCAAACAGUAGAUAUCAAUAAUUGCAAUAAUCACAUUUCCAAAUGGCUUCAUUAUACCUAGUUCGUAUGCGACCCAAAUACUAAAUAGAAAAGCGUUUGUCAAAUUCAGGACUGGCGCUGGAAGCUGUAGGUGGAGGGAAGACCAGGAAUGGUGCAGCUCUGCAGAUGCUGAAGGUGUGCCAAAGGGUCACGUGUGUUCCUGAAGGGACUGAGGCGACGCAGUCGGAGGUCCCUGCGGUGGCGGUCAGCGGGAGGUGUCAAGACCAACCAGCUCCUCGUCCAGGAAAGGGGAAUUCUUCAGACCGUUCUUCAAAGGUUCAAUAAAGUCACGAUGGAAGAGCAGAUGGCUGUGCAGUUGCCAUGGUGGAGAGACCCAGAGUAUGAUGACCGAACAGUUGAUCUACAACGAUGGCCUACUCCCCAUCCACCCUGAGGAUCCCUGGCUACACCUGCAAUCCAAUCUACCCCAGACAUAACCACUCGGAGCUCAACAACUCCUACAACUCCUCCUGCCUCCUACACACCAUACUGUUACCACUUUACCAUUUUACUUUAAAAAAAAGUACUGUAAUUCACACCAUGUUGUAGGAAAAGCAUGUUUAGCUCAAUGAUUUAUACAUUCUAUUUCUGUGACCCCAACUAUUGUAUUUCUAACCCAGUUACCUCGUAACCCUCUUUCUAAGGGAGCGACUAAAGGGACAAAGCUGGAGCAAACCUGAGUUUAACAAUCUUUCUAAUCUUUCUUUCAAAUGUCCUCAAUUGAAACACAUAAAAUGCCUAAAGUAACUUGUCUAACAAAACAAAAAGCCAACCUAAUACCCAAACUUAACCAUCUAACUAAAGAUCUCAAAUGCCUAAACUCUCUUACCUUAACCGAGUACCUAAACCGAACCAUUUAACUAAACAUCUCAAAGGCCUAAACUCGCUUACCUCAACCUAACCUAAUACCCAAACUUAACCAUCUAACUGAAGAGCUCAAACACCUAAACUCUUACCUUAACCUAGUACCUAAACUGAACCAUCUAACUAAACAUCUCAAAGGCCUAAACUCGCUUACCUCAACCUAACCUAAUACCCAAACUUGACCAUCUAACUUAAAAGCCCAAAUGCUUAAACUCUUACCCUAACCUGGUACCUAAACUUGACAAUCUAACUAAGCAUCUCUAAUAACUAAACUCUUUCCUAAUACCUAAACAAUCUUUAAUACAAUCACUAAUGCCUAAACUUAAACAAACGCCAAUAAUAAAAGUUAACCAUCCUUAAUCUUAAACCCAAACCAGACUUGUCCCUGGGUCGCUCCACUUUGUUUCUUUAAAGGCAUCUCUUUUCCCCUGCAUCUGUGUUUUAUUCCUUGAGGACUUCAGGUGGGGUGCCAUACAGUGUUGCAUGGGUUCUUGGGUCAAUUGUGGCACCCAUUGCACUCCUGACCAUCCCUGGAAGAAGGGAUCCCCUCCACUGCGUUUCUUCUCAAAAUUUCUUCCUUGCUGAUUCAAGGGAGUUUUUUCUUGCCCGUGUGGGGGCAUGGGUAAAGGGGGGUGUCACAAAUAUUUGGCCUGUUAAGCCCUUUGAGACUGUAAUGGUGAUUAAGGGCUAUACAAAUAAAAUUGAAUUGAAUAAAGAUACUUCAUCUUUACAGAUUUUGUUUUGGGGAAUUGGGACAGCUGAGCAGCUUAAGCAUCCUUACUGGUGAAUCUGAUCUGACGAUAUCAAUCAUAGGACUAUGAAGCUGCAGAGUUCUUCCAAGAAAGGGUUCCAAUCCAGGAUAGCUUUUAACACACUUUAUUUGUUAAAGUAUUUCGGUAUGGUAACUACGGAGCAAAAGGAGGUGGAAGCGUGUUGAACACGUGCUGAGCGUCGCCCUGCUGAUCAAAAACAUUAACCCUUUGUCUGGUAGCAGCUAGAAGAUUCUGAAGUCCAACUUCUCUGUCGAGAUUGAACUGUAAUGCAAUGCACAACAUGCAAUUUGUCCUUAUCUCAAUUUUUAAAACUUUUUAUAUUUUUUAUUAUUACUAUUUAUUGUGCUGCGCCCUCUCGCUCUCUCGAUCUCUCUCUCUCUCUCUCGAUCUCUCUCUCUGUAUUAAUACUGUACUUGACUUGGGAAGCCCUGCACAAGAAUUCCAAUGUGUUUGAACUGUCUGGUUUAUGCACAAAUGGCGAAUAAAAACCUUUGAACCUU